UCGAGAAUCAUUCACAAUGGGGGAAACCCUGAUGGUGCAACGCCGCGUGGAGGAUGAAGGCCCUAGGGUCGUAAACUCCUGUCAUAGCAGAGUAAGAUAUAUUAGUUAAUAGCUAGUAUAUUUGAUAGUAUGCUAAGAGGAAGGGACGGCUAACUUCGUGCCAGCAGCCGCGGUAAUACGAAGGUCCCGAGCGUUAUUCGGAAUCACUGGGCGUAAAGGGAGCGUAGGCGGCGCGGUAAGCCAGAUGUG
rnacentral:rRNA from 1 species